GAUUGUUAGAUUAAGCAAUUGCUUUCAUCUCAUCCUGAAACCAUUCUAUUGAGCUAAGAUCUUGCUUAGAGUAAGGCGAGAGCUCAUCUAGUGAACUUAGUGAGCUCAUUCAACCCGCGCAUUAACGCUUAACCAACAGUGUCGAUCGAUAUCCAGAUAGAAUAAUCGGUCAACGUUUUAAAUAGUGAAUCGAUCGAUAUUCAUAUAGAAUCAUCGAUCGACACUGGUCAACAGAC
rnacentral:lncRNA from 1 species